CGUUCGUAGCCGGUUUAGUAAAUGCCUGGGUAAAUCGAGCCGCUUAACGGUUCGAAUUCCGGGUAGACUGCUAAACUUGGGACCGGGAGAGGCUAGAGGUACUCCUGGGGUAGAGGUGAAAUUCUGUAAUCCUGGGGGGACCACCAGUGGCGAAGGCGUCUAGCUAGAACGGGUCUGACGGUGAGGGACGAAGCCCUGGGGCGCAAACCGGAUUAGAUACCCGGGUAGUCCAGGGUGUAAACGCUGCUUGCUUGAUGUUAGUUGGGCUCUGAGCCCGAUUAGUGUCGGAGAGAAGUAGUUAAGCAAGCUGCCUGGGAAGUACGGUCGCAAGGCUGAAACUUAAAGGAAUUGGCGGGGGAGCACAGCAACGGGUGGAGCGUGCGGUUUAAUUGGAUUCAACGCCGGAAAACUCACCGGAGGCGACGGUUACAUGAAGGCCAGGCUGAUGACCUUGCCAGAUUUUCCGAGAAGUGGUGCAUGGCCGCCGUCAGUUCGUACCGUAAGGCGUUCUGUUAAGUCAGACAACGAACGAGACCCUCAUCUUUAAUUGCUACUGGUAAGUCCGCUUAUCAGGCACAUUAGAGAAACCGCUGGCGAUAAGUCAGAGGAAGGUGAGGGCAACGGUAGGUCAGUAUGCCCUGAAUCCUCCGGGCUACACGCGCGCUACAAAGGCCAGGACAAUGGGUUUCAACACUGAGAAGUGAAGGUAAUCUCGAAACCUGGUCAUAGUUCGAAUUGAGGGUUGAAACUCACCCUCAUGAAGCCGGAAUCCGUAGUAAUCGCAGAUCAAAAUCCUGCGGUGAAUAUGCCC
rnacentral:rRNA from 1 species